UUGACCUCGGAUCAGGUAGGGAUACCCGCUGAACUUAAGCAUAUCAAUAAGCGGAGGAAAAGAAACCAACAGGGAUUGCCCCAGUAACGGCGAGUGAAGCGGCAAGAGCUCAAAUUUGAAAGCUGGCUCCUUCGGGGUCCGCAUUGUAAUUUGCAGAGGAUGCUUCGGGAGCGGUCCCCAUCUAAGUGCCCUGGAACGGGACGUCAUAGAGGGUGAGAAUCCCGUAUGGGAUGGGGUGUCCGCGCCCGUGUGAAGCUCCUUCGACGAGUCGAGUUGUUUGGGAAUGCAGCUCUAAAUGGGUGGUAAAUUUCAUCUAAAGCUAAAUAUUGGCCGGAGACCGAUAGCGCACAAGUAGAGUGAUCGAAAGAUGAAAAGCACUUUGAAAAGAGAGUUAAAAAGCACGUGAAAUUGUUGAAAGGGAAGCGCUUGCGACCAGACUCGCUCGCGGGGUUCAGCCGGCAUUCGUGCCGGUGUAUUUCCCCGCGGGCGGGCCAGCGUCGGUUUGGGCGGUCGGUCAAAGGCCCUCGGAAGGUAACGCCCCCAGGGGCGUCUUAUAGCCGAGGGUGCAAUGCGACCUGCCUAGACCGAGGAACGCGCUUCGGCUCGGACGCUGGCAUAAUGGUCGUAAGCGACC
rnacentral:rRNA from 1 species